rnacentral:lncRNA from 1 species
CCUGGAUUAAGAGCAAAUUAUAAAACUGUUUUCUGGUUUAUUUAUCAGUUGUGUUAUUUUAGUGCUCAGAACACUUUUAUCUACUCCUCCGAGAAGCCCAGAAAACUAGCAACAAGAUGAGGAGUCACCAGAUCUCCACCCAGCACAUUAUGUGCACAUGGCUAUGACUCCUUCUAGAAUAAGGUCAGGUCACAGUCAUUUGUGGGCAAGCAAGCAGAUGUCAACUGGAUUUCAAUAUACGUAUAUACAUUCCCAUUUCUAGCAGAUAAUUUUUUUUUGUUUAUAUAGCAGAGAAACAUAUUUAUGUACAAUAUUGGGUUUAAAAAUAAAAUUCCAAAGGGGUUCUUAGAGUCUACAAACUGGAACUUUACCCUGGAACAAGGAAGGAAGGAGAGCAGUAAUGAGUGCUUGCAUGAAUGUGUAUUGCUCUGGUGCAAGACAGAAGAAAAUUGCUCAGCUUUACAGAUGAGCAAUUCACAUCUGCUUCUGUGACCACAUUCCACAUGGGUGCACUUGCACAAGUAUGAAAAUGAAUAGCAAUUUUGCCUAUUCUCUUCCUCUUACAGCAGACAGUGGUCUUCUAGACCACAAGUGGGAAACUUCAAGUCAAGGGGCUAUAUGUGGUCCUCCAGCCACCCUAUCUGGCCAGUGGGAACUCCCUAGGCCAUGUCCCCUCUCCAAACCAUCACACUAAUGCUUGAUCACACUGAGGUCCUUUCCACAUUAUUUCAGUCCUCCUUUUCAACACAGAGAUUGUUAGAAGAAACCAGCUGUUUACUCCAACACAGGGAAUGCCAGAUGCUCCUAGAAGCCCACACACAGGGCAUGAAGGAAACAGCCCUCCAACAGCAACUGGUUACUCAGGUGAACUGGCUUUUGAGUAGAAGCUCCACCUCACAUAUAGUGAAGGUGCAACAUGGUUGUCUGGACCUCAACUACCAAAGACCACUGCCAAAAAUGUGUGAGUGGAAUAGACCGGGGGAUGAUGAAGCUAACUUGGAAAUGAUUUUAAGGACAGGUUUACAGUGGUACCUCAGGUUACAAACGCUUCAGGUUACAGACGCUUCAGGUUACAGACUCUGCUAACCCAGAAACAGUGCUUCAGGUUAAGAACUUUGCUUUAGGAUGAGAACAGAAAUCGUGCAACAGCGGGAGGCCCCAUUAGCUAAAGUGGUACCUCAGGUUAAGAACAGUUUUAGGUUAAGAACGGACCUCCAGAACGAAUCAAGUUCUUAACCCGAGGUACCACUGUACAUAUCUGCAAGCAUGGCCAGUGGUCAGGGUGUAUGGAACUUCUAGUUCAAGAGUAUAUGGAGCCACAAUUUCCCCUUAUCUGAUCUAAAACAUCACUGAUUUUGUCUUGAAUGCCUCUUUGAGGAAGAUUGUUCCGUAACUUACCUAGGCUUAGGCAUCUUUAGAAAAUAUAAAUGAUUUGGAAUUGCCAGGGGAUAUAGAAAUGAAAACUCAUUUGUUGGCAGCCACAUAGAUGGAUUAUGAGAAUGUGAAAAGUAGGAAAUAUGGUUAAAUGAAUAUAAUCAGGGUGAGGGAAGGCAGGCAAUUUAAUAGUAAAUUAUUUAUGAGAAAUGGAAGGCAU